rnacentral:rRNA from 1 species
UACGUAGGGGGCAAGCGUUGUCCGGAAUCAUUGGGCGUAAAGCGAGCGUAGGCGGCCCGAUAAGUCUGCUGUAAAAGUCAACGGCUCAACCGUUGAAAGCCGGUGGAUACUGUCGGGCUAGAGUUCGGAAGAGGCAAGUGGAAUUCCUGGUGUAGCGGUGGAAUGCGCAGAUAUCAGGAGGAACACCGGUGGCGAAGGCGGAUCUCUGGGCCUUACCUGACGCUGAGGCGCGAAAGCUAGGGGAGCGAACAGG